GACGAAGGAUGCAAGCGUUAUCCGGAUUCAUUGGGUUUAAAGGGAGCGUAGGCGGCCCUAUAAGUCAGUGGUGAAAUCUCUCGGCUUAACCGAGAAAUUGCCAUUGAUACUGUAGGGCUUGAGUACAGUUGCCGUUGGCGGAAUAUGACAUGUAGUGGUGAAAUACAUAGAGAUGUCAUAGAACACCGAUUGCGAAGGCAGCUAACGAAACUGUAACUGACGCUGAGGCUCGAAAAGUGCGGGGAUCAAACAGG
rnacentral:rRNA from 1 species